rnacentral:lncRNA from 1 species
AUGGGGGUUCUUUGUCCCAUGGCCAUGAAAAUUCAGGCUUGCAGACAAUUUGAAUGGUUCUACACACGAAGAGGAGGGACCAGGCUCCUCCCUGCUGCAAAUGGAUCAAACUUCCCAAAUCUCCACCCCAGUGGGCAGGCUGGUUGGAUUUUCUCCAGGAACCGUCUCCCACCUGGCUGUCUCAACAGGAAGAGCAGUUCCCAGGAGAGAAAACCCAGGGAUGUAAUAUUCACUGUGAAGGUCCAUGGCUUCAUUCUUGAAGUCAGCAAGACCACCGGAAGGAACCAGCUCUGGACACACUCAGACCCAUCAGAUUGGCAAAACAUCAAAACAUUCAUCAGGCAAAGCUUGGGAAAGAUGAAGAGAAACAGGAAAUCCCAUACUGCAUAUCAGAGUAUAAAUUCGCAGGACUUUGCAAAGCAAGUUGGCAACAUCCAGUUCAGCUGCAAAUGUGCAUACUCUGAUCUGCCAGUUUAA